AGAUUUGUUAGAAGCCCCGAGC
rnacentral:miRNA from 1 species